rnacentral:piRNA from 1 species
UGACAGUUUAUGUGUUCUGCUGUGCCA